UUCCGGUUGAUCCUGCCGGAAGUCAUUGCUAUCGGGGUCCGAUUUAGCCAUGCUAGUUGUGCGGGUUUAGACCCGCAGCAAAUAGCUCCGUAACACGUGGCCAAACUGCCCUAUGGAGAGGAAUAACCUCGGGAAACUGAGGCUAACGCCUCAUACGGCUUCACAGCUGGAAUGCGUGAAGCCCGAAACGUUCCGACGCCAUAGGAUGUGGCUGCGGCCGAUUAGGUAGACGGUGGGGUAACGGCCCACCGUGCCGAUAAUCGGUACGGGUUGUGAGAGCAAGAACCCGGAGACGGAAUCUGAGACAAGAUUCCGGGCCCUACGGGGCGCAGCAGGCGCGAAACCUUUACACUGCACGCCAGUGCGAUAAGGGGACCCCGAGUGCGAGGGCAUACAGUCCUCGCUUUUCUGAACGGUAAGGACGUUCAGGAACAAGUGCUGGGCAAGACCGGUGCCAGCCGCCGCGGAAAUACCGGCAGCACGAGUGAUGACCGAUUUUAUUGGGCCUAAAGCGUCCGUAGCUGGCCGCACAAGUUCGUCGGGAAAUCCACCAGCUCAACUGGUGGGCGUCCGGCGAAAACUGUGUGGCUUGGGACCGGAAGACCCAAGGGGUACGUCCGGGGUAGGAGUGAAAUCCCGUAAUCCCGGACGGACCGCCGAUGGCGAAAGCACCUUGGGAAGACGGAUCCGACAGUGAGGGACGAAAGCUGGGGGUCUCGAACCGGAUUAGAUACCCGGGUAGUCCCAGCCGUAAACGAUGUCUGCUAGGUGUGGCACUGGCUACGAGCCAGUGCUGUGCCGUAGGGAAGCCGUGAAGCAGACCGCCUGGGAAGUACGUCUGCAAGGAUGAAACUUAAAGGAAUUGGCGGGGGAGCACUACAACCGGAGGAGCCUGCGGUUUAAUUGGACUCAACGCCGGA
rnacentral:rRNA from 1 species